GGAAAACAGUGGAAAACCAGACUGCUGGCCCAGGCACCUGAAAUUCUCACCCUCCUCACAUCAACUAUCUCAGGAACAAGGACAGUGAGAGAAUACAAAUCUAGCCAGCCUUCUCCUCCCUUAGCCCUCGGGACAAGCAGACUGGAUGGUGCGCUGCCUCCUCUUUGGUGACAGGAACUGGGCAGUUGAAAGAAUUCAGCCUCAUCACAAGUGAAGAAAGAAUCGAAGCCAUGCUCUGGUGGUCAUAUCCAAAUCAAGCUGGAUUUUGUUUGACUAUGAACUUAAAGGAAGGGGAAAUGAGCGCCACCCCAGCGUUGGCAACAGGGUGUUGUUUUCCAGAACCAGGUCUGAUUAACUUCCGGGAACUUCCAGGAACUCAGGCCAGUCACAUUUUCUAAGUUGCCCUUGGGUACUUGUGGUCCCGGAUUUCCUUAGCCAAAUGACCAACGGUGCAUUUCUAGGGCUUCCCCGGGCUUCUUUCUAGGGUGUGUGCUUUGGGGGUUGGGGGGUGUGGGAUGUAAAUCUUUUACAGCUCUUAGGCUUCAAGCGUGACCAGGGUCUUUACAUUGCAGGCUGAGAAUGUUGUGUCAUUUUGGACCUUAGAGCUUGUCAUGAAGGCAGAUAACACAGGACAUAUAUUCGUUGAUGUAUAGUUGUGUGACGCUAAAUUUUUACCCAAGGCCCCCAUGUGUUAAUGGAGACCCUGGAGAGAAGAUACAUUUGUAACUUUGGGCUGAUGAGUGAAGUCAGUAAGAAUCAAUUCAGGAGUCCUUCCUUCUGCACACUUGACUUUUGAAUGUUUUAGUUACUUAUAACCAAGCAAGGUCCAAAACUAUUGGGUGAAAACUUCCAGAAGUAAACAAUGAGUUCAUAUAUUUUAAAAAAAUUUCUAUCACCAC
rnacentral:lncRNA from 1 species